AUUGAACGCUGGCGGCAUGCCUUACACAUGCAAGUCGAACGGCAGCACGGGAGCAAUCCUGGUGGCGAGUGGCGAACGGGUGAGUAAUAUAUCGGAACGUGCCCAGUCGUGGGGGAUAACGUAGCGAAAGCUACGCUAAUACCGCAUACGAUCUAUGGAUGAAAGCGGGGGAUCGCAAGACCUCGCGCGAUUGGAGCGGCCGAUAUCAGAUUAGGUAGUUGGUGAGGUAAAGGCUCACCAAGCCGACGAUCUGUAGCUGGUCUGAGAGGACGACCAGCCACACUGGGACUGAGACACGGCCCAGACUCCUACGGGAGGCAGCAGUGGGGAAUUUUGGACAAUGGGCGCAAGCCUGAUCCAGCAAUGCCGCGUGCAGGAUGAAGGCCUCGGGUU
rnacentral:rRNA from 1 species